UAGGACCCUGGGUUGGUGGGGUCGGGAGGACUUGGGGGCUACUUGCUCCGGGACAGCUGGGCCUGCUGGGGUGCUGGGCGCCUUGUGUGUGGCCCCCAGAACAGUGAGUUCCUUCUCGGGGGGAAGGGAGCCGAGGACUGCGGGCUGGAGGAGUGGCCACUGCAUCACCCAGGCUGCAGUGUGCGCCCGGAGGGGGAGCCCCCGGCUGUGAGGGGCCGAGGCCCUGCGUCUCCGCACCGCGCCGGCCACCGCGCCGCCCUCGCCUCCCUCGCCUGCCGGGUCCCUUAAAGGAGCUUGUUGAUCUGGCCUCCUGGAACUUCACUCCGCAGUGCAUCCAGCCUCUGCCCCCCUGCCAACGUUUCUUGAAACUGAGCUUCAGGCAGUGCAUUUUCUUUGGAAGAUUUUCUAAUCCAAAGCUUGGCCCAGUCCUAAGCCUUCUGCUUUGGGGAGAGUGCAAACAGCCCUUCUGUGGGAAGUGACAUCUAAGGAACAGACUUGUAAUACCUUUAUGGCCCGAAUACCAUUUGUUGCCUUUUUGCUGAGCCAAUGUUUCUGAGAGCUCCAGAGUUCAUAGUUUCUUAGGGAAAAUGGUGCACGCGUUUGUUACCAGACUCCUUCGUUUGUAAAGACUUCGAUGGAAAUCUGUAACUCAGACAGCAAAACAUUUCACUCCAUUUGAACAGUUUUUCCUUUUAGGGUUUCUGAUCCCUAACUUGGCUGUGCCCACUACUGAUGGAGCCAGAGCAACAACUGUUGAUCUCAAAUUCUAGUGGCUUCACGGAGAGGGAGAGUGUGAAAAGCCCUUUUACAGGAGAUGCAAGUAAGAAGCAUUUGGAAAGUGUUCAACACAAUAACUCCAAAGCAGAUAAAGAGAGCACCUCAAAAUGGCCUAAGAGAGGUGGCCCACAAAAUUGUAAGCAUGAGGAUACAGAAGAAAUUCCAUUGACGUCCCAAGGCGAUGAGAUCUGGUGCAAUGAUUCCUAUGAGAAGGAUGGCAAGUCAGAGGAUCAGGGAAAUUCUACCGGAGGAGAAGAAGAAAAACCCAGUCCCUGGGGAUGGGCUCCCGGGGAACUCGGCAGCGCCGCUGCCCCGCAGAUUUCAACCUCCGGGGACAAACCCUACAAGUGUGCCGAAUGUUGGAAAAGCUUCAGUAACAGCUCUCAUCUGCGUAUUCACCAGAGGACCCACUCCGGCGAAAAGCCUUACAAAUGCUCAGAGUGUGGGAAAUGCUUCAGCAGCAGCUCUCACCUGAUUCAGCACCUGCGGACGCACACGGGCGAAAAGCCCUACCAGUGCGGGGAGUGCGGGAAAAGCUUCAGCAACACCUCCCACCGAAUCAUCCACGAGCGGACCCACACGGGCGAGAAACCCUACACGUGCCCCGAGUGCGGGAAGAGCUUCAGCAGCAGCUCGCACCUCAUCCAGCACCACAGAUCGCACACGGGCGAAAAGCCGUACGAGUGUCCCGUGUGUGGGAAAUGCUUCAGCCACAGCUACGUCCUCAUCGAGCAUCAGAGGAUCCACACGGGAGAGAAACCUUACAAGUGCCCCGACUGCGGCAAGAGUUUCAGCCAGAGCUCCAGCCUGAUCCGCCACCAGCGGACGCACACCGGGGAGAAGCCCUACCGAUGUCUCGAGUGCGGGAAAAGCUUUGGUUGCAAUUCGACCCUCAUCAAGCACCAGAGGAUCCACACGGGCGAGAAGCCGUACCGGUGCACGGAGUGCGGGAAGAGCUUCAGCCGAAGCUCCAACCUGCUCACACACCGGAGGACGCACGCAGGAGAGAAACCCUCCGAAGGCCCCGGGGACGAAGCAAGUUUGAGCCGCAACUGCAGCGCGAUGGAGGCGUGCGGCCUUCGGCCGGGGGAGAAGCCGUACAGGUGCUGCGAGUGCGGCAAGCGUUUCGGACUCAGCUCCCAUCUCAUCAGGCACCAGAGGACACACACAGGAGAGAAGCCGUACCGGUGUCCGGAGUGUUGGAAGACUUUCAGCCAGAGCUCCACGCUGGUGAUUCACCAGAGGACGCACACGGGGGAGAGGCCUUACAAGUGCCCUGACUGUGGCGAGCGCUUCAGCCAGAGCUUUAACCUCAUCAGGCACCGGCGGACCCACGUGGGAGAGAAACCUUACAAGUGCGCCGACUGUGACAAGGGCUUCAGCAGAAGCGCCUAUCUCGCUCAGCAUCGGAAGACGCACCUAGAAAAGUCUUUGGAGUCUCCCGAAGUUGAUGGUUUUCCCCAUGGGUGGAGUUGGAAAAACUGACCAGGGGAAGUGGCCCUCAUCUCUUCCUUUUCAGUCCCACAUCCAUCUUCCUCUUGAGUCCCAAAGCCUGUUUAUUAUUAUUAUUAUUAUUUUUUUUUCUUUUCUUGCUGGACCAUUACAAUUCAGGUGUGGCUACAGAGUUUCUUUGGUUUCUUUGCCAUAAUGUCUGGAGAAAGUCAACCUUCCAGGUUAGAGAAUGGGAAGCUCAUUAUAUCUGCCCAGUGGGAGAUGUUGCCGUUGAUGGAGAAGAAAUGUUUUUUGAUUUAAGUGGAAUGGGGAAGUCCCUGCCUGCACAUAAAUGUAGUGAGGACUUCAGGCCCUGGCUGCUAUAGAUUGUGCCAGAAGGCGUACAGACAAGGUCUUACCAUAGCACCUGAGGCGAGGGUUGGCUCCCAUCCUUCCAGGCCACGCAAGCUGGAUCUACAGAAUGGGCCUCCUCCUCAGUGCUGUCCCUGUCUCCACCUCGGUGGUGAGGACGUGGAACAUGGUUUGUGACUUGUCCCUCAUACAUGAGUCCAAUAUAUUCCGUCUCUGCCCAUCUCUCGCCUUCUGAAAUCAUGGUCGUGACAAAGCCGUCAUUGCUUCUUUAUUCUGUAUUUGAGUUUGUGUAAUUCCUUUUGAGCAGUAUGAUCAUUCAUUCAGCAAAAAUUUACCUGACGCCCAAUAUGUGUUCAGCAGGAGUUCAAGUGACAGUGGGAGGGGCAAGCGUAUGGAUAGAUGAAAAGGAAAACAUGCACCUUUUCAGGUGACUAGUGUCUCCUUGCCAACACUCUUGAACUGCAGCUUAGGCUGAACCCUCCAUCUUCAAAUCUAAUGAUUUGACCAUCGAAGGAGCUAGAAAUAACUAUAUUAAAAGGGUUAGGUUUGGUUUAUUCCGUGAAAACACCUGCUUGGUGAAGUUGGACACGGUGCUCUGUACGUACUGGUGCUCGGUGGUUCUGAGUGGGUGUCAUAUGCUGAUAUGUUUUAUGCUAACGCCCAGGAAUAUGCCCUUCCAGGAUAUGCCUUCCCAUUAGACUGUCCACCCCUUGAGUGCAGAGAGCAGAUUUCGUUUUCUUAAUCCCAGUGGCCAACACAAGGCCUGGCAUGUGUUGCGUGGUUUUGGAUGAAGGGCAUUUGCCAGUGGUUAAGUUUGCUGGAAUAAGCGGUAGAGCCCCAGCAUGCCCUGGUCCCUUGAACAUCGUUACUUGUCCAGUCCACAGAGUCUGGGCUAGCUCGCAGGUGAAAGUGACUGCCCCUGGAAGCGGGGUCUGUCCUUCACGCUAAGCCCUAGAAGACCCUUGAUAGUCCCAAUUGUUCAGAAUCCUAUGGAGGUAAGACCUGGGCUUUUAAAAAGUUCAGACUGUCCAGGACAGGUCCAAAAUCUGUUUCAAAUUCACGUUUCAAUCCCUUUGUUCUCAGCUUGUAAGAUUUAGUAAACAGUGAAUAAGGCGAGGUGCCUGGCAUAGUAUCGACGUUAACUAAAUACUGGUUUCCUUCCCUGUCCGCCCCUCAUUUUCUCAUGAUUUUGCCAAGGAUAGGCUCUAUGCACAGAAAUGUUUAAUCACUGCUUGGAUUGGUUAUUUCUAGGUUUCUAAAAUAAAGAUAUUAGUAACAUUUAGCUCAUGGGUUUGUAGUGAGGAGCAGUGGGGUACUGUGUGUAAUGUGCAUAUAUUUAGCAUUGCUAGUACCUCGGUGUCAGCUGAUCUACCAAGAUCAAGUGGCUGGAUACAACCAUGGGUCUUUGGAUCAUCUUUGAUGGUGGCCCCUGAGACAGAGGUGUCUGCUGGGGCCACUAAAAUGGUGCAGUCCUUUUGUGGUCUACCCCAGGGACAUGAAGGGGCUAAUCAUGUAGCACAUCGAUAUUUUAUGGUAGCUGUGUGGGCAACUACUGCCGUUUCUAUUUAAAAAUUACCUUCACUCUUCAUCUCUUUAAUUACAUUUUUAUUCUCUUCUCUUUGGCCUUAACUUCUUCUGCCUUGACCUUACAUAUUUUCUUUUCCCCCCACGUUUAUUUUUGAGAGAGAAGAGUGCAGGUGGGGAGGGGCAGAGAGAGGGUGC